ACCUGAGCUUCCAUUUCACGGUCAGACAGGCCACCGCAGAUUUGGAUAAUACGGUCAGACAGCGUCGAUUUACCGUGGUCAAUGUGAGCAAUGAUCGAAAAGUUACGUAUGUUCUUCAUAGAGAUAAAUUAUUAUGCCUUACGCCUGGUUGACCAGACUUUAGAGGUCGCUGUUCUGAGCUUAACGUCUGUUUUAACUGAAACGCCGCAUUCUACACUACAACGCUAAGGCGAGGAAAUGUUCAUAGUGUACGGAGAGCGGGAACUGGACUGAGACUG
rnacentral:ncRNA from 1 species